CAGUCGUACCCGCGGAUAAUCAGCUUUUUGAGUGUGAUUAUGUGGUUUAUGAGGAGUUUAACCGCCUUCAUGUAUUGCAUAUUCGUGCACAUUUGGUGUACUUGUCCGUGUGGUGGGUUAACAUCAAUUUCGGGCACCAUAAAAUGGCUGGAGGAAUGUAGCUUUGGUCUCGUAUUGAAGUUGUUAUAUCCUUCGGUAGAUGUGAUGAUCGAGAUU
rnacentral:rRNA from 1 species